rnacentral:tRNA from 2 species
GGGUGUAUAGCUCAGUUGGUUAGAGCGUCACGUUGACAUCGUGAAGGUCAGUGGUUCGAGCCCACUUAUACCCACCA